AAUCAUGCAAAGCAUGCACGGUCAUUUUUAUCUUUAAAACAUUAUGUUCUUUGCCACAUAGGCCUCUCCGUCUUGGCAGUUUGGUUCAUCAAAGCCUGUAAAUCAGUCUUCUUCACCUCAUCUCCGAAGUGUCCUCUCAUCUCACGUGUGCCAUAGUCUCUGCACUAGAAACAAGUCACUGGGUCGGCGCACUCGGGAGGGGACCACGCGGGGUUCGAGUACAGGGCAGGGCCUCUCUGCAGGUCUGGUCGCGUAGCCUGGAAGGAGGGGAGCAAUCCAAGGUCAUGAUUCAGAGCUGGGUCUGCUGGAGCUCUGCGACGUGCCGUCUGCAUUCUGGGGCCCAGUGAUGGAACAGCUUCACACGGGAACUUGACCAGUUGUCCUGGCAGGAAGGAAAGGGAGACAUUUCCGCUUGAAGGUGACAGCCCCUUCUGCUCCCAUUUCAUUGGUCAGAGCAGGUCGUGUGGCCAAACCUGAGGUGCCGGAUGGAGGAGCACAGCCCAGGAGGGACUGUGUGCUGUGAUCUGACACGCGGUCCAGUUUUCUCGUCCCGCCUGGUUCCUGGGAGAGUCGGCAGAGAGCCUGCCGACUCCCCUGCCCUGUGGUACAGCACUGCCUCUGUCGGACCGCAGGCUCCCUCCACUGCCAGGGGCGUCGGGCUUCUCCACUGCCGAGAACGCGUCCUCACUCUGACGCCUCUUGCAGGGUGGCCUGGCUCUGCCCUGAGCUCGGGGCCCCGGCUCCUCAGUCUGUGGGCCAGAGGGUUCUCUGGAGGG
ensembl:lncRNA